rnacentral:lncRNA from 1 species
AAAUAAAUUUGGGUGUCUAAAACAUUUAUUAAAAAUGAUAUUGCAACUAUUUGAAUAAAAUAAAAAUAUUCAAUAAAAUAUUCUAAUUUCUUGUAAAACAAUAUUUAUAGAGUUAUCGGUAAAUAAUUUUUAUAAUGUAAAAGCUAAAUAAAUUCACACGUACUAUAAUACAAAUAACUGGGAUAUGAAAUUUACUUUACAGUGACUCGUGGGCCCACAAGGAACAAAAGUGCACAAAGGCAGUAAACCUACAGUUUUUAGAGUAGUAAAGCCGACUAUAAUCCUUGAUGAUAUCUGCUAUCCACAAGCUACCUUGGGCCUGAAAUGGUUGGAAAGGAGGGUGGUGAGAUUAUAAAAUCUCAGUGAGUAAACAGAUACCAUCUAAACCAUCUAAAGUCGAGUAAAUGGAGACAGAUAAAACAGUUUAACAUACUGAAAUUCAUCACCUUUCAACUUAUUUCAACCAAAUAAAAUCAAUUCAUAUAAAUCGAGUAAUUAACAUGGCUUAUGAAUUUCUUAAAACUUUGUCUCGUGCCAAAAUCAUUAUCAUACUCAAUCAUCAGGGAUACCUUGGCCGAUGGCUAUCCCAAACCGAGUUCGCCAAGGCUAUUAAAAAGUUAUGUACUCAUAAAUCAUGUUUUUAUUUUGAAAAUAUAGUCGUUCCUUGGCGUUGGCUGAGUUCCCCCUCAUGUGGUGGUUUGACUUGAAGUGACCUCUAAAAUGUUAGCCUCAGGAGUUAUCCACCCGCGCCUCUCAUACUGAGGUAAGAUAUAACGGGGUUUACCAUGCCCUUCUAAUAGGUUGGUUCAAGAAAACCCGCCCACUGCAGUAAGCUAAUAAUCAUCCCACCAAUCAAUAAAAUUCAAUAACAUGAUAUGAUAAUUAUUGUAAUUCACAGCCUUUCAAGGCUAAAUACACAGUUCAUAUAUUUCAACACAAAUACCAAUUCCACCAUUCAUGCCAAUAUUGCCAUAAGCCAAUCAAUUAUAACCAUAAAUUCACAAUACAUCAAAUGGUCUCCAAUUACUCUAUUUGAAAAGCCAUUAUUAAAUUUUAAAACAAUUUUAUGAAAUCAUUUCAUUAAAUCACAUUUUGUUUAUAAAAUCGAAAAAUUUAUCAUUUAAUUCAUUUUUCAUAAAAUUCACAAAAUCGGAUAAAACAUACUUUAGAUAAUUAAGACGAUAGUAAGGUUACUCACAGAACUAGGAGUUCGAUAUACUCCUAUUUUCGAUCUUCAGGCACAAUCUCUUUACCCUUGUUAGAGGGCUCACCACCUAUACAUCAUACGUGACACGAAUUUCAAGAAAUUGUGUCAAUUUAUCAUAAACUAUUUCAGGCUCUAUAAAUCUAUAUGAACGCACGAAAUGUGAUGCAAAAUAUCUGAAUAGCCGUUUAAAUACGGUAUUCGACCUAAUUUGCAUUAUUCUCGAUGUAAUUGGUUAAAACCUUCAAUCUAACUCCAAAUCAAUUUCUUUCACUUUCUACACUCCAAUUAUACUUAAAAUACCUCAAUGACUGUGAAUAUGAUUCAAUUUAUCAGUUCGAACCAUAACUCGCACAUGUCUAUAUAUUAGGUAAAAAUUAAGAUUUUCAUGCCAAAAUUUUUCAUUAAAUUUCUAGCCUCAUCAAUCAUUAAAUACCACCAAAAUAUCAUGAAAUAUCAUCAAUUUCAGCCUCAAUAUCUUCCCUAGAAAAUUCGGCCUCUUGUGGGUUUGUGAAGAACAAAGUGAUUCCUUACUAGAUUUUCAUAUUUUCCAUUACCAAACAACCAAAAACACUUAAUUAGCUUGAAAUCUAGCAAAAUCAAUGCUCAAAACCUCUCCUCUCAAAUUCGGCCAACAUGGGUUCAUCAUGCAAACUUGAGUUCUAAGCAUGAAAAAUGAAAAAGAAAGCAUGGGUAGUGUAAAUCACAAGAUAAAAUCACAAAAUUUUACCUUUAUUAGCUUAAUCCCUUGAAAUCCUACACUUUUUCUUCAAUUUUCCCACCUAAGUUUUGUGUUCUUUCCUUUCCUUUUCACUUCAUGCUUUGGCCGGC